GACGAACGCUGGCGGCGUGCUUAACACAUGCAAGUCGAACGGAAAGGCCCGGCUUUUGUUGGGUGCUCGAGUGGCGAACGGGUGUGUAACACGUGAGUAACCUGCCCUUGACUGUGGGAUAACUUCAGGAAACUGGGGCUAUCCCGUAUAGGAGCUCCUUCUGCAUGGGGGGGGUUGGGAAGUUUCGGCGUUUGGGGCUGGUCUGGCGGCUUAUCAGCUUGUUGGUGGGGUAGCGGCUUACCAAGGCUUUGAAUGGCAGGCGGCCCGAGAGGGCGACCGGCGACCUGACGCCUGCGGGAGGGACCAGAGUCCAACGGGAGGCAGCGGGCGGGAACAUUGCCCAGCGAGCGGACGCCUGAUGUGGAGACGCCGCGUGCGGGAUGAAGGCCUUCCGGUAGUAAACCGCUUUCGCCUGUGACGAAGCGUGAGUGACGGUAAUGGGUAAAGAAGCACCGGCUAACUACGUG
rnacentral:rRNA from 1 species